UUCGAAGUAUAAAACGCAAAUAUGUAUGUAUAUGUACAUAUGCAUGUACGUAGCUACGUAUGAAUGUAUGUACAUACAUACGUGAACAUUUUUGAAAUACAUAUGUGUGUACGCAUGUAUGUUUAUGUGUAUGUUCGCAUUGGCGUUGAAAUGGCAUUGCUGUUGGCAUAAACCAUGUGCUAAUUGAUUGCGUUUUGGCUCAAACUGCUAACUCGCUGUAACCACAAUGCGUGUGUUCGAACAAAUAACAAAAAUAUAAUAAAAAUGGACUCCUUGGCAAUGAGUUUCUCUAUUAUACCGUGUUAUGGAGAAGUGGGUUUAUCAGUCCAAUUACAACGUCGACUCUUUAAGAAAAACAGUAAGCCCCUAACUGUGCCUAGUAAUUUUGUUUUUAAUAAUUUUUUAUGCGUACGUACACAUGUUCUACCGAUUCAACUUUUUACGUUUUAUUCAAUUUAAGUAAGUGUAUUUGAAGUUGUUUUAAAUGUUGGCUUUUUGGCUAACAUAAAAUAUUGACCAAAAUUAAGAAAUUAUAAGUGUACGCACUUAUCUUUGAAAAGAGGCCGCAUUGAAUAAAACGCAUGACACACUUAAUUUCUCUCUCUGUCGAAGAUUUCGGUUCUCUUUUGUGUUCUGCUUUGAAAAAAGACGGCACAAAGAAAGCGACCAAAACGAAGACGCAUUUACAGUUAUGCGAUGGAAAGUAAAAGUCGAAAUCAAUGAAUUUAUAUUGUUUGUUUUGGAAUGUAUGCGAAAUGGGUAAAAAAUCAUUGAGAAGAAAAUAAAACGAAUAGCGGCAAAAACAAGGUUGUGUUCGCACAGUAAGCCCUAACUAACAUAGAAAGAUAAGAAAAUAUUUUUUUUAUUAAAACAGAACAUUGUGGUAAUAUAAUAUAGUUUUAAUAAAAAAGUGUUUGUUUUAUUAAAUUUUUUCGCGUUGAUCCCAUCACUGGGCCUGUCAUUUCAUUUUUGGUGUGUUUGCUUUUUAAGCUUCGUUUUCAUAGUUGGCUCUAAUCUUUUACAGUAGACAAUCGCCAUCUCGCUCACACGCCGCAAACAAGUUGGAUUUACCGUUGCGUAUUUUUUUUUUUAAGUUUUUAUUUUGGUUUUGCUGCUCAUUUUAAAUGCCCACGAAAAGAAGCAACAAUAACAACAGGUUGAUGAUGAGUAAUGAAAGAAGAGAAAAAAAAUCCAAAUUGAGUUGCUCUCAUAGUUACAGAGAGAGAGAGAGAGAGGAGAGAAAGAGAACAAGACUGAAUAACAAGAGAGCGUGGAAGAAAAUAAAAGAAUGUAAAUAUUUUUAACCAAAAUAAACAAAUGGUUUAAAAUCAAUUAUCAAGCAAGAAUUUGCUGGUGGCCUAUUGCCUUAUCACUAAAGCUUUAAAAUGUUAUUAAAUUCCCUCCCUUGUUAUUUUCUCUGAGAAAUUAUAUGAAAAGUGAAGACACACUGUAGUAGAAUUUAUUUAUCAAAUAGCUAUUUUAUAUAUUGUUUCACAUUUUAACCGCUUCAUUUCAAAAAGAAAAUUUGUAUUUCUGCAAUCAAUGGCAAUAACUAUCAUAGUAAUUUUUCAAGAAUAGAAACAGAAGCAAAACAAACAAAAGCUCAUUUAAAUGACGUCAUGUGGCUUGUUUCAAUGUAAAAAUGUCAGACACUUGAACCAAUUUUGUUGUUGUAAUUUUGUCGGCGCUUUUCCGACGCCUAGCAGCGAACUGGGUCAAUAUCUUAAUUAAUUUUAAUGGGCUUAAUUUAAAGACAAAGGAAGCGAGCACUAACAAAGUUACAUCAAUCAUUUGCGUAUUGCAAUCGUGCGGAAUAAGGUGGGGAAGCUAUGUUUUCUGCUCUACUUUUUGAAAAAUGCGAACUCAGACAAGAAAAAUAUGUAGUAAUAUGCAGAAGGUUUUAUAUUUGUAUAUACUGCGAAGUUAUCUGUAAAGUUUUUAGCUUAGGACGCAAAUCUUGUCAACCUUUAGGAUAUAGCCAAACUGACAAAAAAAAAAAAUAUGUAUAUGUUUGUACAUGUGUGUGUAUUACAUAUGUUUGAGUUGGAUAUCUCAAGAUCUAGGAAUAUGUUUGGUUAAUUUUUUUGCUGACUCAAAAUUAUAUGCAAAUGCCAAAAUGAUUAUACAUACAUACAUACAUACAUACGUGCAUAUACAUAUCAUGUGUAGUGAUUUACUUUCUGCAAGAAGGGUAACGUUACUUAAAUCUCCGAGUCGCCGCACAUUCUUCAGAUAAUUUAAUAAAAAGGGCGUGAAGUGAAAACAAGGCUUAGUAAUAGUACUACAAACAGAUACAUCCAAAUCUACACAAAUACACAUACUACAUGAAUUUAGCGAUAACAACAAAAUGCGGGCAUCUGAUUUAUGCAGAGAGUAAAGAAGAGAAUAGAGAGAGGGAGGACAGAAGGGAGAGAGAUCAAGCCGGAAGUAACAUUUUAAAGGAGGGUGUGUGUGAAGCGUAACAGAUGCAUUUAACAGUAACAAAAACACCGAUCGUUGACAGGUAGGGCAUGAACGAAGCGGAUAACAAGAGAGGGACGCGAGGUAGCAGAACUGCAAACUGCGAUUUAUUUAGGGUUGUAUGUACAUGUGCGCUCAUAAUGCGCCUGCAUAUGUGUGUACAAGUCUGACCUCGUUGGCAAACUAAAAAAAUAAAGAAGAGCAUGAAAAAGUGUGGAAUAUGGCCGAGCGAACGAAGGCGGAAAAAGAAGCCGCACCUAAAAAAAAAAUCUAUUACAUCACUAGGAAAAUUGACACAAGCGUUAAACUUUUAUAUACAACCACACACCAAAAGCUCACAAACGUGAGGGUGAGGUAGCAUAUUGAAACGGAAACAAAUUGAGCUUUGAAAAAUAGAUUCAUUUUAACUCCUCAAACAUGUAAAGACCAACAAAUAACUACAAAUUGUGGGGGAAGAAAAAACGAUAUCAACAUAAUAUUUAAGUCUGUGAGCAACGAACUGACCCAAGUUUUGUAAUAACCAAAAACUAUGUAUGAAUCAAUAUUACUGAGAAAUAUGAAAAUAGGAACUAUUUUCGAGGUCUAACGCAUCAAAGCGUAAGUCAACCUUACAAAGCCCCUCGAAUACCUAAUUUUCUGACAGCUAAACUAAGAGAAUGUUUAUAUAAAAAGGCUAACUUUGUAGGAAAACUAAAGGUACCACUGUUUAAACCCCAAUUUUAUAAAUAAGAAAAUAAAAGGAAGAAAGUCUAAUGGACUUAAAUUUACAAAAUACAAUCUGAACCCACGAGCGACUGCAACUACAACUCUUCUAGAAACUUCUUUUCGCAGGAAAAUCGUUGAAAAUAUUCCCGAGAGUGUGCGAGCCGAGAGAGCUGCCAGCGACAAAGCGACAAGUGAGCGCGGCGAAUUUAAAUCGCCCCGCUAGUUUAGCAUUGGAGAGCGUCGAUUUCGGCCGCGGAGCGAGGUUCGUUGAAGUUUUGAACGUCGGCUCCCAAAUCGUUCGUGAUUGUUAGGGGACUGACGUUCCCGACGAGACUCCCACUCUGUGCUUAUUCUACCAUGUGUUUGACAACGCGGUUCAGUCUGCCGCCAGCGCGGACCGAAGUAGCGGGAUUUGUCAAAAAAGUAUUUCACCGAUUGCUGGCAAGCGCAUCCGCUGACUCUCCCUCUCUCCUUGUCUCGCUGGCUGUCUUUGUUGCUCUUCGCCGCUGUUAACGUUUUCGAACAGCGUGCUAACAUUGAGUGUUGGAAGACGAAAUGCAAUGGACAAAGGAUAAGAUUUUACCGCAGGCUAUCAUUCCCGAUGUUGGGGCUUGAAAGAGCGAAACCGUGGACUAGCCACAGAAACAUUUUUAAAUGUGUCCACGCUGCCCACGGGAAGAAACUGAUCACGAAGCUCUUCUGAAUAAACAUCACCAAUGCUUGUAAACAA